rnacentral:RNase_P_RNA from 1 species
GGAGUCGGUGAGGUGGUUGCGGGGCCCGUUCGUUGGGUCCCGAGGAAAGUCCGAGCUCCGCAGGGCAGGGUGCUGGGUAACCCCCAGUGGGAGUGAUCCCAAGGAAAGUGCCACAGAAAACAGACCGCCUCGGCCGGUCGCGCUGGGUUCGCCCCAGCCGUCCGGACGGGGUAAGGGUGAAACGGUGAGGUAAGAGCUCACCAGCGCUGGUGGCGACACCGGCGGCUCGGUAAACCCCACCCGGAGCAAGACCAAAUAGGGGAGGAUGAGGUGGCCCGCCUCGCCAGCACUCCCGGGUAGGUUGCUCGAGGCGUCCGGUAGCGGACGUCCCAGAGAAAUGACCACCACGGACCAAGUGUCCGGACAGAACUCGGCUUACGGCCGGCUCCGGCC